rnacentral:rRNA from 1 species
UUGAACGCUGGCGGCAGGCCUAACACAUGCAAGUCGAACGGUAACAGGAAACAGCUUGCUGUUUCGCUGACGAGUGGCGGACGGGUGAGUAAUGUCUGGGAAACUGCCUGAUGGAGGGGGAUAACUACUGGAAACGGUAGCUAAUACCGCAUAACGUCGCAAGACCAAAGAGGGGGACCUUCGGGCCUCUUGCCAUCGGAUGUGCCCAGAUGGGAUUAGCUUGUUGGUGGGGUAACGGCUCACCAAGGCGACGAUCCCUAGCUGGUCUGAGAGGAUGACCAGCCACACUGGAACUGAGACACGGUCCAGACUCCUACGGGAGGCAGCAGUGGGGAAUAUUGCACAAUGGGCGCAAGCCUGAUGCAGCCAUGCCGCGUGUAUGAAGAAGGCCUUCGGGUUGUAAAGUACUUUCAGCGGGGAGGAAGGGAGUAAAGUUAAUACCUUUGCUCAUUGACGUUACCCGCAGAAGAAGCACCGGCUAACUCCGUGCCAGCAGCCGCGGUAAUACGGAGGGUGCAAGCGUUAAUCGGAAUUACUGGGCGUAAAGCGCACGCAGGCGGUUUGUUAAGUCAGAUGUGAAAUCCCCGGGCUCAACCUGGGAACUGCAUCUGAUACUGGCAAGCUUGAGUCUCGUAGAGGGGGGUAGAAUUCCAGGUGUAGCGGUGAAAUGCGUAGAGAUCUGGAGGAAUACCGGUGGCGAAGGCGGCCCCCUGGACGAAGACUGACGCUCAGGUGCGAAAGCGUGGGGAGCAAACAGGAUUAGAUACCCUGGUAGUCCACGCCGUAAACGAUGUCGACUUGGAGGUUGUGCCCUUGAGGCGUGGCUUCCGGAGCUAACGCGUUAAGUCGACCGCCUGGGGAGUACGGCCGCAAGGUUAAAACUCAAAUGAAUUGACGGGGGCCCGCGCAAGCGGUGGAGCAUGUGGUUUAAUUCGAUGCAACGCGAAGAACCUUACCUGGUCUUGACAUCCACGGAAGUUUUCAGAGAUGAGAAUGUGCCUUCGGGAACCGUGAGACAGGUGCUGCAUGGCUGUCGUCAGCUCGUGUUGUGAAAUGUUGGGUUAAGUCCCGCAACGAGCGCAACCCUUAUCCUUUGUUGCCAGCGGUCCGGCCGGGAACUCAAAGGAGACUGCCAGUGAUAAACUGGAGGAAGGUGGGGAUGACGUCAAGUCAUCAUGGCCCUUACGACCAGGGCUACACACGUGCUACAAUGGCGCAUACAAAGAGAAGCGACCUCGCGAGAGCAAGCGGACCUCAUAAAGUGCGUCGUAGUCCGGAUUGGAGUCUGCAACUCGACUCCAUGAAGUCGGAAUCGCUAGUAAUCGUGGAUCAGAAUGCCACGGUGAAUACGUUCCCGGGCCUUGUACACACCGCCCGUCACACCAUGGGAGUGGGUUGCAAAAGAAGUAGGUAGCUUAACCUUCGGGAGGGCGCUUACCACUUUGUGAUUCAUGACUGGGGUG